rnacentral:rRNA from 1 species
ACGCUCGACACCUACGGGGGGCAGCAGUGGGGGAUAUUGCACAAUGGGGGAAACCCUGAUGCAGCGACGCCGCGUGAAGGAAGAAGGCCUUCGGGUUGUAAACUUCUGUCGUACGGGACGAUAGUGACGGUACCGUACAAGAAAGCCACGGCUAACUACGUGCCAGCAGCUGCGGUAAUCUGAGCGGGCUGGCAAGGC